rnacentral:misc_RNA from 1 species
GAUGAAGAACGUAGCGAAAUGCGAUAAGUAAUGUGAAUUGCAGAAUUCAGUGAAUCAUCGAAUCUUUGAACGCACAUUGCGCCCAUUAGUAUUCUAGUGGGCAUGCCUGUUCGAGCGUCAUUUCAACCCUCAAGCCUUAGUUGCUUGGUGUUGGGAGCUUAUCUUGCCGAAAGGCGGGACAACUCCUUAAAUUUAUCGGCGGAGUCGCGGUGACCCCAAGCGUAGUAAAUUAUUUUUUCCUCGCUUUAGGUGUUAACGCUGGCUUUUCUAGCCGUUAAACCCCCCCUAAUAUUUUAAUGGUUGACCUCGGAUCAGGUAGGACUACCCGCUGAACUUAAGCAUAUCAUAAGCGGAGGA